rnacentral:lncRNA from 1 species
GGAGUUGAUCAGUAGAAGCUGAUUAUCUAUUAAUGAGAGAUUUUUAGUGGUGUACCCUGGUGUAAAAAUCACUAUACUCUAUUCAGCCAGCCAUCAGUUGCAAAUACCAUGUAUAUGAAUCACUUGAUUGAUGUACAGAAUUCAAAACAGAUUUUCCCCAGUGCCCUGUGGGUUGCCAUGCACUGAUGCUCUCCUAUCUGUUUAUGUUAAUGAAACAGGAUUUUUCAGUGAGUAAAUAUGUGUAGUAUUUAAUUAAACUCACUGCUGGGCUCUGCGUGAAAACGUAGCCCCAUUUUUCAGAAGUGCUAGUUGACUGCAAUUCUUUGUUUUCACUCGUUUUUUCUCCUCAGUUGCCCGACUACAGAGGAGCAGGAGUUGUCCCACGCUAAAGCCCUGUGAGCACCAGGACUUCAUGCUGUGGAAAGUCUGCUAACGCAGAGCCAGUCCCUGAAGGCAUGAUCUUGCACCAUUAUCUCUGGUUGGAAGCUGCCUCUAACUUCUGUAACAAUCACCCUAUAUCCUUCCCCAGCUGUCUGUGGGUCUGUAUGAAGGAAAGGCUCAUUGCUCUAGUUACUGGCCUCGUGUUUCCAAGAAUCCAGAAGCUGCAGAAGCCAUGUCCAGUUUAGAUCUCUCCUACUCUUCCCACCAGAGACAGUUUGAACGGCAAGAUGCUCUAAAAUUGGAAUGGAUACCACUGGAGAUGUCUUCCAGCACAACACUGAAGAUAGAUGUUUCUCCUGAACUGGUUUUGGCAACACUCCAGGAGUACAUUUAGCACACACGUCCCGUGAUGCAGUGUACAGAGAGAUCUUCAAAAAAGCCUUAGAGCAGGAGUCAUCACAGCAUGAUAUUUCUAAGAGAGGUUGUAAUACAUUUCUCUGGCCAGAGUGGAAGUCUUCGGUAUGCAGGCUGCCUAGAUUAGAAACCUGUCCUUGAAUACAAUAUUAUUAGUGCUUCGUUUCUCAAAUCCCUGAUAUUAGCACCUUUCCUGUAAAGCUUAUUAUCAAAAAGUUGUUGCAAGAAUGUAAAACUGAAGUUGGAGUUCAAAGGUUUGCUUAAUGUGUUCUUAAAAAAAACAUAAAAUACAUGUAGGCUAGUGCACACACACACAUAGACAAAUUCUAGUGAGAAGGGUUUAUUUAGCAUAGUUAUUUCUAUAGCUGAGCUAGAAUAUGAUGCCUGAAGAAAUCAUCAGUUCCAUUAUUCUAAGAUUUUUUUUUCCACAGAAGGCUCAUUUAUUAUAAGCCCUAAUAUAAAAUAAUGAAUAUUUGUUUUAAGUCAAGUCAAUACCAGCACUAGUCUCCCGGGGAUAUGUGCAAUUUUGUGAUAACUACAAAAGAAUUUAUUCUGGAGUAAACUAUACUGAAUCUAGUGUUGGCAUCUAAAGUGCGCUUAUUGGUAAUUUAGCUUCUCUUCAGCAGAGCACUAGGGUACUUCUUUUUUUUUUUUUAAGCAUGCAGGUAGUCACAAAGAUCGAUUUCAAUGGAACUACUCAUAAAAUCAAUGUGAUAAUUAUUUCUGCUUACUUUAAAGAUCUAACACUUCUAAUCUGAGAGGAAUAGGCUUUCCUAAAAAUUGUACUUUAAGAUCACAAUAAUAACAUUUAGUUCUAUCCAUGGAUCUCAAAGCAAUACAGAAAGAUUAGUACUAAUGGGAUCAAUAUAAGGAAAAUGUAUCUGCUUAUGACAAUUAAUUUUUGAAAACAAAUUAUGAAAAUAAACAUUUAUCUCUUGAUCA